GACGAACGCUGGCGGCGUGCUUAACACAUGCAAGUCGAACGGAAAGGCCUGCUUUCCCUUGUGGAUUGCGGGUACUCGAGUGGCGAACGGGUGAGUAACACGUGAGUGAUCUGCCCCCAACUUGGGUAUAAGCCUGGGAAACUGGGUCUAAUUCCCGAUAGGACUGCAGGGUGGUGCCUGUGGUGGAAAACGAUUUUCUAGUGGUUGGGGAUGAGCUCGCGGCCUAUCAGCUUGUUGGUGGGGUAAUGGCCUACCAAGGCGGCGACGGGUAGCCGGCCUGAGAGGGUGGACGGCCACAUUGGGACUGAGAUACGGCCCAGACUCCUACGGGAGGCAGCAGUGGGGAAUAGUGCACAAUGGGCGGAAGCCUGAUGCAGCGACGCCGCGUGGGGGAUGGCGGCCUUCGGGUUGUAAACUCCUUUCGACCGCGAGGAAGCCACCUGGUUGGAAGGGUGGUGACGGUAGUGGUAGAAGAAGCACCGGCUAACUACGUG
rnacentral:rRNA from 1 species